UCCUGCAUUCGAAAGUGAUCGUGGGCUGCUGUGCCCUGGUCAUUGAUAGUGCAGGGAGAGGAUUGCUGAAAGGAGUUUUCCCCGUGUUUGAAGGGUCCAGCUGUCCCUUCCAAACCCUGGAACUUUCACACA
rnacentral:snoRNA from 12 species